GUAUUAAAAAUUCCUUUAUUCCACUUUCUGGUUUGCUGAGCAGAAUGAAAGUAUUCGUUCUUUUAACACUAGCUGUCCUUCUGUUGGUUUAUGCUGAUGUAACUGUUGCUAAUUAUGGCUGUCCAGUCCAGUAUUGGUGUAAAAAGAGUUGUGUUCGAAGAGGUUGCAGAACUGGAUACUGUAUGUUUUGGAGAUGUCGCUGCAGCCGUUGUGGGAAACGCCCAGGACGUUAAAAGCCAUGAAUGCAUUAACCCUGGACUGAUAAAUACAUUGAUACAGAUUUUCCUAUAAUAUUGUGCACCAAUAAAGAUUUAAAUAAAAAGUUUGUAAAUAUU